rnacentral:lncRNA from 1 species
CUAAUUUAUUUUACGAGUGAAGUUCGAGAGUACACACCAUUUUAAGUAGUCAUAGUUCUUUGCGAGCUUUAAUUACUCUACAAGCGCAUUGUAAAGAAAUUGAUGCCCCCUUCAAGCUUGAGAAAUGAUGGCUGGACAAGUAUCUUCGGCAAUGCCUCUGGUUAAAUAGAAACAAAAAUCAUAGUAUCUAAGAGUAAACAACCAAAUAGUUAUAUUUGUUUGUAGAUCGAUAGAAGGUGCACAUAAUUCUGAUCCUAGUGAUGGAAAAAAACAAACAAGCACAAUUUUUUGUAAGAAAUUCUUGAGACUGCAAACUCAGCCAAUUUCAGUACCCAAGAAUUAAAUUAUCAUGAAUUUUCAGAGCCAAAUACUGUUAUACUCAUUCCAAGGCAAAACAAUAGCAUUUUAUCUUUUAUUUAGAUAACUCUACCCGUCCAAGCAAAAUAACUAAUCUGCGCACUUGGUCAUACAAUCAAAUGCAUUUUUGUAGUUAAGGUGAUAAAGACUCACACGAAGUUAUUAAUCAUUCGAACAGACCUCACAACUAUUUGAACAUACUCACUAACAUAAUGAACAAACCAACAACUGUGAACUGAAAGUCCGCUUGGAAACAACAUUAGAACAUUUCGAACAGACCUCACAACUAAUAGAACAAGCUCACAAACAUAAAGAACAAACCAACAACUGUGAACACAAAGUCUAUUUUUCCAAGAAAUCAAAAUCUGCAAUAUUAAGAGGAGACCAAAUUUUUUUUUGGUACUUCCACAGAUCCAAAUACCCAAAAGAGAUUUCAACAUCAAAUAUCCAAAAUCAUGUCGACACCCUAUUCCAUUUCAAGCCAAAAAGUCGAAAGGUUCAAACAAAAUCGAAAUCCCUUUAGCAAACAACAUUUGGAAGAAUGAAAAUCCCCAAAAUAAUUCGAACAAAAUCAAAAACUCUAUUCCAAGAAACAUGUAAUACAUUGUGUUCCAUUUUAAAUCAAAACACCUAUGGAAAUUUCGAACAAAAUCAUAAAUACAAAAUCGUUUACAAAUCUGAAUCACAACUAAAGAAUAAGCAAAAAACAAAAACUCGAAUGAAAGCCAUGAAUACAUUUACUCACCUGUUCAAUAUUUGGAAAAAUCAUUUCUUGAAGCAGCAAUCGAACAAAACUCAAAAACUCAUUGCCUUACCCGUUCGAUUUCAGCAGUUAUCGAACCAUUGGAUUUUGAAUCGAUUUGUUUGGUGAAAAAUCAGAACUUCAAACGAUUACCUACUUGCAAUCGGAUUUGUGACGUCGAAAUCUCCUCAGAACCUCAAUUGAAACC